UACGGAGGGGGCGAGCGUUGUCCGAAUUUAUUGGGCGUAAAGCGCGUGUAGGCGGAGAUCCAAGCCUGGGGUGAAAGGUUGGGGCUCAACCCCAAGAGUGCCCUGGGGACUGGAUGUCUGGAGGCAGGCAGAGGAGUGUGGAAUUCCUGGUGUAGCGGUGGAAUGCGUAGAUAUCAGGAAGAACACCCAUGGCGAAGGCAGCUUACUAGGCUGUAACUGACGCUGAUGCACGAAAGUGUGGGGAUCAAACAGG
rnacentral:rRNA from 1 species